rnacentral:rRNA from 1 species
GAGUUUGAUCCUGGCUCAGGACGAACGCUGGCGGCGUGCCUAAUACAUGCGAAGUCGAGCGGAACCAUUGGAGCUUGCUCCUUUAGUUUAGCGGCGGACGGGUGAGUAACACGUGGGCAACCUGCCCUGCAGAUCGGGAUAACUCCGGGAAACCGGUGCUAAUACCGAAUAGUUUGCGGCCUCUCCUGAGGCUGCACGGAAAGACGGCAUCUCGCUGUCGCUGCAGGAUGGGCCCGCGGCGCAUUAGCUAGUUGGUGGGGUAAUGGCCUACCAAGGCAACGAUGCGUAGCCGACCUGAGAGGGUGAUCGGCCACACUGGGACUGAGACACGGCCCAGACUCCUACGGGAGGCAGCAGUAGGGAAUCUUCCGCAAUGGACGAAAGUCUGACGGAGCAACGCCGCGUGAGUGACGAAGGUUUUCGGAUCGUAAAACUCUGUUGUGAGGGAAGAACAAGUACCAACUAACUAUUGGUACCUUGACGGUACCUCACCAGAAAGCCACGGCUAACUACGUGCCAGCAGCCGCGGUAAUACGUAGGUGGCAAGCGUUGUCCGGGAAUUAUUGGGCGUAAAGCGCGCGCAGGCGGUUUUUUAAGUCUGAUGUNGAAAGGCCCACGGGUCCAACCGUGGAGGGUCCUUGGAACUGGAGAACUUGAGUACAGAAGAGGGACAGUUGGGAAUUCCCUGUGUAACGGUGAAACUGCGUAGAGCAUGUGGAGGAACGCCAGUGGGC